AUGUUUGUUUACUAUGUUGUUUUCUUCUUUUCGGUGUUGCUUCUUCGGGUUAGUUCUGAUAACGUCGCGUUUGUGAGGAUCCGUUCGAACUACGCCCGUUUGUCUUCUUCAUGGACUCGUUCUUCUUCCUUGCGGGAUCUCAGAUACUUCCAAACAGUUGCUGGUGCCGAUGAUGUCAGUGCAGAUGAUGCAACUGAGCUCAAGUGGGAGCUCGAUGAAGAUCGUGUUCAUUGUGUUGUUUCGUUUUCCUUUAGAUCAGUAGUGGAGCCCAGUUGGGGCGAUCGGGGAUCUAGCAUUUGGGGUUGUCUUCUUUUAUUUUGGUUCCGUAGUCGGACCUUGAUUGUAUUCUGGAUGAUGUAUGUUUAA
rnacentral:rRNA from 1 species